rnacentral:rRNA from 1 species
GUGGGGAAUAUUGGACAAUGGGCGCAAGCCUGAUCCAGCCAUGCCGCGUGAGUGAUGAAGGCCCUAGGGUUGUAAAGCUCUUUCACCGGAGAAGAUAAUGACGGUAUCCGGAGAAGAAGCCCCGGCUAACUUCGUGCCAGCAGCCGCGGUAAUACGAAGGGGGCUAGCGUUGUUCGGAAUUACUGGGCGUAAAGCGCACGUAGGCGGACAUUUAAGUCAGGGGUGAAAUCCCGGGGCUCAACCCCGGAACUGCCGUUGAUACUGGGUGUCUGGAGUAUGGAAGAGGUAAGUGGAAUUCCGAGUGUAGAGGUGAAAUUCGGAGAUAUUCGGAGGAACACCAGUGGCGAAGGCGGCUCACUGGCUCGAUACUGACGCUGAGGUGCGAAAGCGUGGGGAGCAAACAGGAUUAGAAACCCGGGUAGUCC